CUGCUGCCUCCCGUAGGAGUCUGGUCCGUGUCUCAGUACCAGUGUGGGGGACCUUCCUCUCAGAACCCCUACGCAUCGUCGCCUUGGUGGGCCGUUACCCCGCCAACUAGCUAAUGCGCCGCAUGCCCAUCCUCCGCCGGAAUCGCUUCCUUUUAACACCCGUGGGAUGCCCCACAGAUGUACCACGCGGUAUUAGUCCGGAUUUCUCCGGGUUACUCCCCCUGCGGAGGGCAGGUUGCAUACGUGUUACUCACCGUGCGCCGGUCGCCGG
rnacentral:rRNA from 1 species